rnacentral:rRNA from 1 species
GACGAACGCUGGCGGCGUGCUUAACACAUGCAAGUCGAACGGAAAGGCCCUGCUUUUGUGGGUUGCUCGAGUGGCGAACGGGUGAGUAACACGUGAGUAACCUGUCCUUGACUUUGGGAUAACUUCACGAAACUGCGGCUCAUACCGGAUAGGAUCUCCUGCUGCAUGGUGGUCGAUGGAAAGAUUCGGCGGUGGUGGAUCGACUCGCUGCUUAUCCGCUUGUUGGGCGGGUAGUCGCUUACCAAGGUUUUGACGGGUAGCCUGCCUGGGAGGGGGACCGGGCUCAUGGGGACUGAGGGAGGCCCCAGACGGGUACGGGAGGCAGCGGUGGAAAGUAUUGCGGAAUGAGCGGAAGCGUGAUGCAACGGCGCCGCGUGCGGAAAGACGGGCUUCGGGUUGUGAACAGCUGUGGCAUGUAACGAAGAGUGAGUGACGGUAAUGAGUAAAAAAGCAACGGCUAACUACGUG